rnacentral:SRP_RNA from 1 species
GCCGGGCACAGUGGCGCGUGCCUGUAGUCCCAGCUACUCAGGAGGCUGAAGUGGGAGGAUCUCCUGAGCCCAGGAGUUCUGGGCUGUAGUGCGCUAUGCCGAUCGGGUGUCUGCACUAAGUUGGGCAUCAAUAUGGUGACCUCCUGGGAGCGGUGACUACCAGGUUGCCUAAGAAGGGGUGAACCGGCCCAGGUUUGAAACGGAGCAGGGCAAAACUCUCAUGCUGAUCAGUAGUGGGAUGAUGUCUGUGAAUAGCCACUGCACUCCAGCCUAGGCAACAUAGCGAGACCCCCUCUCU